rnacentral:tmRNA from 1 species
GGGGCUGAUUCAGGAUUCGACAGGAUCACGAAGGCUUGUGGAGCAUGCCGAGGUGCGGUUGGCCUCGUAAAAAAGCCGCAAAAAAAUAGUCGCAAACGACGAAAACUACGCACUAGCAGCUUAAUAACCUGCUCAGAGCCUACCCUCCCUAGCCUCCGCUCGUAGGACGGGGAAUCAGGGUAGUCAAACCCAAACGAGAUCGCGUGGAUGAUUUGACCUGGGAUCUGAAGCGUUAAACCUGAUUCAGGUAUGUCUUUGUGUGGCGUGUCUUUCCGCAGCACACUGACGAGAACAAAGAUAGACUAAGCAUGUAGCGCCAUUAGUUAGACUGGUUUUGGACGCGGGUUCAACUCCCGCCAGCUCCACCA